rnacentral:tRNA from 1 species
ACCUGGCUAGCCCAGUCGGUAGAGCAUGUGGCUCUGGAUCUCAGAGUUGUGAGUUCAAGCUCCAUGCUGGGUG